GUGACACUGCGCCGAAAAUGUACCGGGGCUAAACAUAUUACCGAAGCUGUGGAUUGUCCUUUGGACAAUGGUAGGAGAGCGUUCUAAGGGCGUCGAAGCAUGAUCGCAAGGACAUGUGGAGCGCUUAGAAGUGAGAAUGCCGGUGUGAGUAGCGAAAGACGGGUGAGAAUCCCGUCCACCGAUUGACUAAGGUUUCCAGAGGAAGGCUCGUCCGCUCUGGGUUAGUCGGGUCCUAAGCUGAGGCCGACAGGCGUAGGCGAUGGAUAACAGGUUGAUAUUCCUGUACCACCUAGUAUCGUUUUAAUCGAUGGGGGGACGCAGUAGGAUAGGCGAAGCGUGCUGUUGGAGUGCACGUCCAAGCAGUAAGGCUGAGUGUUAGGCAAAUCCGGCACUCAUAAGGCUGAGCUGUGAUGGGGAGAGGAAAUUGUUUCCUCGAGUCGUUGAUUUCACACUGCCGAGAAAAGCCUCUAGAUAGAUAACAGGUGCCCGUACCGCAAACCGACACAGGUAGUCAAGAUGAGAAUUCUAAGGUGAGCGAGCGAACUCUCGUUAAGGAACUCGGCAAAAUGACCCCGUAACUUCGGGAGAAGGGGUGCUCUUUAGGGUUCACGCCCAGAAGAGCCGCAGUGAAUAGGCCCAAGCGACUGUUUAUCAAAAACACAGGUCUCUGCUAAACCGUAAGGUGAUGUAUAGGGGCUGACGCCUGCCCGGUGCUGGAAGGUUAAGAGGAGUGGUUAGCUUCUGCGAAGCUACGAAUCGAAGCCCCAGUAAACGGCGGCCGUAACUAUAACGGUCCUAAGGUAGCGAAAUUCCUUGUCGGGUAAGUUCCGACCCGCACGAAAGGCGUAACGAUUUGGGCACUGUCUCAACGAGAGACUCGGUGAAAUCAUAGUACCUGUGAAGAUGCAGGUUACCCGCGACAGGACGGAAAGACCCCGUGGAGCUUUACUGUAGCCUGAUAUUGAAAUUCGGCACAGCUUGUACAGGAUAGGUAGGAGCCUUUGAAACGUGAGCGCUAGCUUACGUGGAGGCGUUGGUGGGAUACUACCCUAGCUGUGUUGGCUUUCUAACCCGCACCACUUAUCGUGGUGGGAGACAGUGUCAGGCGGGCAGUUUGACUGGGGCGGUCGCCUCCUAAAAGGUAACGGAGGCGCUCAAAGGUUCCCUCAGAAUGGUUGGAAAUCAUUCAUAGAGUGUAAAGGCAUAAGGGAGCUUGACUGCGAGACCUACAAGUCGAGCAGGGUCGAAAGACGGACUUAGUGAUCCGGUGGUUCCGCAUGGAAGGGCCAUCGCUCAACGGAUAAAAGCUACCCCGGGGAUAACAGGCUUAUCUCCCCCAAGAGUUCACAUCGACGGGGAGGUUUGGCACCUCGAUGUCGGCUCAUCGCAUCCUGGGGCUGUAGUCGGUCCCAAGGGUUGGGCUGUUCGCCCAUUAAAGCGGUACGCUAGCUGGGUUCAGAACGUCGUGAGACAGUUCGGUCCCUAUCCGUCGUGGGCGUAGGAAAUUUGAGAGGAGCUGUCCUUAGUACGAGAGGACCGGGAUGGACAUACCUCUGGUGUACCAGUUGUCGUGCCAACGGCAUAGCUGGGUAGCUAUGUAUGGACGGGAUAAGUGCUGAAAGCAUCUAAGCAUGAAGCCCCCCUCAAGAUGAGAUUUCCCAACUUCGGUUAUAAGAUCCCUCGAAGAUGACGAGGUUAAUAGGUUCGAGGUGGAAGCGUGGUGACACGUGGAGCUGACGAAUACUAAUCGAUCGAAGACUUAAUCAAUUUUUAAA
rnacentral:rRNA from 1 species